rnacentral:rRNA from 1 species
GGUUAAGCGACUAAGCGUACACGGUGGAUGCCCUGGCAGUCAGAGGCGAUGAAGGACGUGCUAAUCUGCGAUAAGCGUCGGUAAGGUGAUAUGAACCGUUAUAACCGGCGAUUUCCGAAUGGGGAAACCCAGUGUGUUUCGACACACUAUCAUUAACUGAAUCCAUAGGUUAAUGAGGCGAACCGGGGGAACUGAAACAUCUAAGUACCCCGAGGAAAAGAAAUCAACCGAGAUUCCCCCAGUAGCGGCGAGCGAACGGGGAGGAGCCCAGAGCCUGAAUCAGUGUGUGUGUUAGUGGAAGCGUCUGGAAAGGCGCGCGAUACAGGGUGACAGCCCCGUACACAAAAAUGCACAUGCUGUGAGCUCGAUGAGUAGGGCGGGACACGUGGUAUCCUGUCUGAAUAUGGGGGGACCAUCCUCCAAGGCUAAAUACUCCUGACUGACCGAUAGUGAACCAGUACCGUGAGGGAAAGGCGAAAAGAACCCCGGCGAGGGGAGUGAAAAAGAACCUGAAACCGUGUACGUACAAGCAGUGGGAGCACAGAGCAAUCUGUGUGACUGCGUACCUUUUGUAUAAUGGGUCAGCGACUUAUAUUCUGUAGCAAGGUUAACCGAAUAGGGGAGCCGAAGGGAAACCGAGUCUUAACCGGGCGUUAAGUUGCAGGGUAUAGACCCGAAACCCGGUGAUCUAGCCAUGGGCAGGUUGAAGGUUGGGUAACACUAACUGGAGGACCGAACCGACUAAUGUUGAAAAAUUAGCGGAUGACUUGUGGCUGGGGGUGAAAGGCCAAUCAAACCGGGAGAUAGCUGGUUCUCCCCGAAAGCUAUUUAGGUAGCGCCUCGUGAAUUCAUCUCCGGGGGUAGAGCACUGUUUCGGCAAGGGGGUCAUCCCGACUUACCAACCCGAUGCAAACUGCGAAUACCGGAGAAUGUUAUCACGGGAGACACACGGCGGGUGCUAACGUCCGUCGUGAAGAGGGAAACAACCCAGACCGCCAGCUAAGGUCCCAAAGUCAUGGUUAAGUGGGAAACGAUGUGGGAAGGCCCAGACAGCCAGGAUGUUGGCUUAGAAGCAGCCAUCAUUUAAAGAAAGCGUAAUAGCUCACUGGUCGAGUCGGCCUGCGCGGAAGAUGUAACGGGGCUAAACCAUGCACCGAAGCUGCGGCAGCGACACUGUGUGUUGUUGGGUAGGGGAGCGUUCUGUAAGCCUGUGAAGGUGUGCUGUGAGGCAUGCUGGAGGUAUCAGAAGUGCGAAUGCUGACAUAAGUAACGAUAAAGCGGGUGAAAAGCCCGCUCGCCGGAAGACCAAGGGUUCCUGUCCAACGUUAAUCGGGGCAGGGUGAGUCGACCCCUAAGGCGAGGCCGAAAGGCGUAGUCGAUGGGAAACAGGUUAAUAUUCCUGUACUUGGUGUUACUGCGAAGGGGGGACGGAGAAGGCUAUGUUGGCCGGGCGACGGUUGUCCCGGUUUAAGCGUGUAGGCUGGUUUUCCAGGCAAAUCCGGAAAAUCAAGGCUGAGGCGUGAUGACGAGGCACUACGGUGCUGAAGCAACAAAUGCCCUGCUUCCAGGAAAAGCCUCUAAGCAUCAGGUAACAUCAAAUCGUACCCCAAACCGACACAGGUGGUCAGGUAGAGAAUACCAAGGCGCUUGAGAGAACUCGGGUGAAGGAACUAGGCAAAAUGGUGCCGUAACUUCGGGAGAAGGCACGCUGAUAUGUAGGUGAAGUCCCUCGCGGAUGGAGCUGAAAUCAGUCGAAGAUACCAGCUGGCUGCAACUGUUUAUUAAAAACACAGCACUGUGCAAACACGAAAGUGGACGUAUACGGUGUGACGCCUGCCCGGUGCCGGAAGGUUAAUUGAUGGGGUCAGCGCAAGCGAAGCUCUUGAUCGAAGCCCCGGUAAACGGCGGCCGUAACUAUAACGGUCCUAAGGUAGCGAAAUUCCUUGUCGGGUAAGUUCCGACCUGCACGAAUGGCGUAAUGAUGGCCAGGCUGUCUCCACCCGAGACUCAGUGAAAUUGAACUCGCUGUGAAGAUGCAGUGUACCCGCGGCAAGACGGAAAGACCCCGUGAACCUUUACUAUAGCUUGACACUGAACAUUGAGCCUUGAUGUGUAGGAUAGGUGGGAGGCUUUGAAGUGUGGACGCCAGUCUGCAUGGAGCCGACCUUGAAAUACCACCCUUUAAUGUUUGAUAUUCUAACGUGGACCCGUGAUCCGGGUUGCGGACAGUGUCUGGUGGGUAGUUUGACUGGGGCGGUCUCCUCCUAAAGAGUAACGGAGGAGCACGAAGGUUGGCUAAUCCUGGUCGGACAUCAGGAGGUUAGUGCAAUGGCAUAAGCCAGCUUGACUGCGAGCGUGACGGCGCGAGCAGGUGCGAAAGCAGGUCAUAGUGAUCCGGUGGUUCUGAAUGGAAGGGCCAUCGCUCAACGGAUAAAAGGUACUCCGGGGAUAACAGGCUGAUACCGCCCAAGAGUUCAUAUCGACGGCGGUGUUUGGCACCUCGAUGUCGGCUCAUCACAUCCUGGGGCUGAAGUAGGUCCCAAGGGUAUGGCUGUUCGCCAUUUAAAGUGGUACGCGAGCUGGGUUUAGAACGUCGUGAGACAGUUCGGUCCCUAUCUGCCGUGGGCGCUGGAGAACUGAGGGGGGCUGCUCCUAGUACGAGAGGACCGGAGUGGACGCAUCACUGGUGUUCGGGUUGUCAUGCCAAUGGCACUGCCCGGUAGCUAAAUGCGGAAGAGAUAAGUGCUGAAAGCAUCUAAGCACGAAACUUGCCCCGAGAUGAGUUCUCCCUGACCCUUUAAGGGUCCUGAAGGAACGUUGAAGACGACGACGUUGAUAGGCCGGGUGUGUAAGCGCAGCGAUGCGUUGAGCUAACCGGUACUAAUGAACCGUGAGGCUUAACCUU